UAGUGAGUUUGAUCCUGGCUCAGAACGAACGCUGGCGGCAUGCUUAACACAUGCAAGUCGAACGAGACCUUCGGGGUCUAGUGGCGCACGGGUUGCGUAACGCGUGGGAAUCUGCCCUUAGGUACGGAAUAACUCAGAGAAAUUUGUGCUAAUACCGUAUGAUGUCGAAAGACCAAAGAUUUAUCGCCUAAGGAUGAGCCCGCGUAAGAUUAGCUAGUUGGUAA
rnacentral:rRNA from 1 species